UACGAGGGGGGCGAGCGUUGUUCGGAAUUAUUGGGCGUAAAGGGUGCGUAGGCGGUUUGGUAAGUCUUAUGUGAAAUCUACAGGCUCAACUUGUAGUCUGCAUGAGAAACUGCCGGGCUUGAGUAUGGGAGAGGUGAGUGGAAUUCCUGGUGUAGCGGUGAAAUGCGUAGAUAUCAGGAGGAACACCUGUGGUGUAGACGGCUCUCUGGACCGUAACUGACGCUGAGGCACGAAAGCGUGGGUAGCAAACAGG
rnacentral:rRNA from 1 species